CAGAAGGUUCAAGUAUACAACAACUGUUCACCGUUAAUCCACGUCCACCAUCUCCUCGCGUAUAUGCAACUUCAGCAAAGAAUAGGUUGCCAGUGUCAACACCAUAAGAUCCUUUGGUCUUUGCAGUGAAAUUCAUAUGAAAGUGAGGCAAUAAGAGUAUAAGACGCAAUACAGCCGUGCUAGCAGGACAGAGGGAGGCUGGAGGGAGGAACAAGUGCCAACCCCAAAAAGAUUAUGAGGGUCGUUAUACAUGUCCACCAAAGCUCGAGCCAACUGGUAUCAAACAUCUUCAAGUGACUCCACAUUCUCUUUGGUGUGGACAGAUAGGGAUACAAUGACUAUCGUGAUCCCAAAGAAUACCCCACACCCACUAGGGAAUAGCAAAUCCUCACCAGUUUCCAUGACAACCGGACUUUUGCCGAUAUAAGUCUUUACAAGGGUGAUGUGCAAGCUUACAACUUGUUUAGCUAGUUCACCUUAAUGACCAUAACCACUAUCCCCAAAAGUAAAAAAAUGAAAACUUUUGAUCUAUUCAUCAUCUACCAAGCCGGUACAAAGAACACCAUAAGUAAUAAAAAUUACAUUCGGGUUCGUAGACCACCCAAAGGAGGGGAUGGGAGGCAACCCGGAGGUGAACAGUGGAGGAGGAACGAUUCGAGAAGGAAGAAAUCUAGAGAAAGGUGGAAGAAUAACGAUCAUUGAAGCUAAUCCAAUGGUCCCAAAUGGACUUGACCAAAAUAAAAUAUAAGGCGAUUUACCUAUAGUCAGACCCAUACUAAAUAAUUAACCUUUUAGCAUGACCGUGAUCUUACUUUGGUUUUCAUUCGAUGUAUAAGAUUGGAUCAGAAUAGCCUUCUUAAUUAUAUUUUCAUGGUCUUUCAGUCUUCUAUUCGAGAAAAUACUUUGGUUGUUUUGGUUAUAUAAUAAUUGUAUGAAAUAAUUUAUUGAUCAAAUUACAAUAAAAAAAGUAGAGAAUGAUUCUAUCCAACAUGUGGCACCUUGAUGAUGCCAUCCCCACCAGAGGGGAUAUUUCCAAUCACCAAAAGCACAUGGUUGCAGCACAUGCCAUUGUCCGCCCUGGGACGAAGAGCAUCAGAAAUCAAGAAUGUGAUGUUAUUCACUUGGGGGUUAUCAUGCCUUAUACAAUUGUACGCCGUGUUUGGGUCUUUCCCGACGAGCUCUGGCCAACUUUGUUCUGUGUAUGAAAUGCAGAUUAUCAGUUAUUUCUUGGACCAUUGAAGUUCAACUCCAAUAAAAAAUAAAUUUGGGGCCAAACACAAAAUAAAAAGUUCAAUGGAGACAUGGCACAAAUUGUAAGAACAAAGAAGGGUGCUAGGUGUAAUACUAACUUCCUUGGCAAGGCGGUGGAGUACACUCGGCAUAUGUUGUAGGUUUAUGAAUGGUCGAAAGUAGAAUGAUCAGAAGGGGCAACAGCAGAAAGGAUGAAGCAAAGGAGAUUUUCGUCAUUUUACUAGAACUUAAUCUUUCUUGUUAAGAAUACUGUUGGGGAAGGGGGCGGGCUUUCUAGUUAUAGAACCCCAAAUCAAGACCGGUCGAGGUAUGCGUACCGGGUUAAUGAGAUCAGAAGAGUUCUGGCUCAAGAAAGGAACAUUAGUCUAGCUAAGAUCAGCAGGCACGCAAAUUUGGCGAGCCACACCCUAGCUUGUAUGGGUCGCUCGCAACAGCGCACGGCAUGCU